UGCUCGGACUACCGUGAUUUGCAUUUUUAUAAUGUUGAGCCAUUGGGUAAAGCAGAUUACAAACUCUAAUUGCAUUUUUAUGUUCCGAUAAUCUGAUCUUUAAUUUCCUCGUAGUCAUCCCUAUGUAGAAGCAACCACACGGGCAUUCCAACCUAUACACCACAAACGAGGUGCCCUUCGGAACACAACGGAAGGAGACUCAGGCAUAACUUCCCGAAGAUGAGGAUCACUCAGCACAAUUUCCCAAUUACGUUUUAUGAUGUUCUUAAUUCUGUUCGCCUCUGUGCUAUAUUGUGUCACGAAAUAAACAGAAUUAUCUGAA